GGGUCGUAGCUCAGUGGUAGAGAAGCUGCUUUGCAUGCAGAAGGUCUCGGGUUCAAUUCUCAAUAUGCCCA